UUUGGGGAAGGUUUGCAAUUAGGGGAGUAACUGGUGCAACAUCUUAAACUACCUCUUUCCUCUUGAGGUCUGUGACUCCACACCCCGCGGCUCUUCCUUCUCCUGGUCACUCCUCUUCAGUGUCCUUGGCUGCUCCUCCUCCAUCGACCCCACCUCUUCUAAGUGAGAAUUAGAAAACUCCUGAGGGGUUCUUCAACUAAGUAAACUGGGAGUUAUCAGGACUCAUUCUGGACCCUGUCUUCUCUCUACACUCUGCAGAGGCAUAUGGGAUGACUGCACUUCCUUAUACCCUUCAAGUGGAGAUAGGACACUGUGACUUGCUUUGGAUAAUGAAAUAGCUUCCCAGCCUGUAUCCCAGAGAAGGCAAGCAAGCAGACUAUAGGUGUGGCACAAAACCUUGAUCCGCUGGUAACCAGGCUGCUCCUGGGCCCUGCUACCGCUUGGAUGGUAGCUGGAGCUGAGACAAGGUGCCCAUCGAGAGGCACAGGAAGAAUGCGGCCCAGCAGCUCAGGAAGCUCAGCCUCAAGGUCUGGCUGGUUGGGGAAGUUUGGAGCGGGGG